rnacentral:rRNA from 1 species
AUCAGCUUGUUGGUGAGGUAAUGGCUCACCAAGGCGACGACGGGUAGCCGGCCUGAGAGGGUGACCGGCCACACUGGGACUGAGACACGGCCCACACUCCUACGGGAGGCAGCAGUGGGGAAUAUUGCACAGUGGGCGAAAGCCUGAUGCAGCGACCCCGCGUGAGGGAUGACGGCCUUCGGGUUGUAAACCUCUUUCAGUAGGGAAGAAGCGAAAGUGACGGUACCUGCAAAAGAAGCACCGGCUAACUACGUGCCAGCAGCCGCGGUAAUACGUAGGGUGCGAGCGUUAUCCGGAAUUAUUGGGCGUAAAGAGCUCGUAGGCGGUUUGUCGCGUCUGUCGUGAAAGUCCGGGGCUUAACCCCGGAUCUGCGGUGGGUACGGGCAGACUAGAGUGCAGUAGGAGAGACUGGAAUUCCUGGUGUAGCGGUGGAAUGCGCAUAUAUCAAGAAGAACACCGAUGGCGAAGGCAGGUCUCUGGGCUGUAUCUGACGCUGAAGAGCGAAAGCGUGGGAGAGCGAACAAGAUUAGAUACCCCUGAUUAGUCCAUGCCCGUACACGUUGGGC